UGCUGAUAUGUAAAAAACAACUGGAGUAACUAACUCGCAGGUGAACAGCAGAGCUUCAGUCCACUGCUGCUUGCAGACAGACAUAAACGAGCGCGCGGGGGGAGGAAACCUCACGACUCACCACAACAACCAACCGUCUGACUCCUAAACAGGUUUUCAGAUUCCUGAGUAGGGUAUAAAAAAAAUCUCCGGGUCUGACCUGAAAAUCUGCGGACUGACUGUAAGGGGCAUGCGUGCAGCGCAGCUACAGAGGAACUCUUUAUGAACGGGCUGAAGUGCCAAGAAGGAUUUCCAUUUCUCCCACAGCUCCGGCUUUCUUCUCGCUGUCGCGCAGGAACGACGCGUGCUUCACUGGACUUAUAAUCGACCAGCGAAUUUCCAGGCUGAUGAAGCACUUUUUCAGCCCUUAUAUUGUUCUUUGCUUUUCUGCAGCCCAGCGAGAAACCUGCAAAACAUCAUUGUAGCGCAGCGGUGAUGGACAUUCGCUUUGGCGUCUCGGUUAUGCACGCAUUGGAGUCAUUGUGCUUUUUUUCCAAAGGCGCUACUUCUGCACACAUCUCUCGCUCGCCUGACUUUCUUUAAAGCUUAAAAUGUUUUGUCGGUGUGUAUGAGCGAUGGCGUCCGAACCGCACCAGGUGACGGAGAGGUUAUCUGCACGUUUGGACCUGUUCGCGUGGAUAAUGAGAAUUUAUGCCACAGGUGAAUGAAUAUUUUCUGUUUUGAAGCCGCUUUCUGACUCUGGCAUACAACUCGAGAGGGCUGCACGGUGAACAAUGGAUCUCAAAGUGGAAACCGAAGAAAUGGAGUCAAAUCAACCUCCACCCAUAGAAGUUUUUGCGCACAGCUCGACCCUGCACGGAAUCUCUCACAUCUUCACGUACGAGCGGUUCUGCGUCAAACGCUGCCUGUGGCUCGUGUUUUUCUUGGGCUCUCUGACCUUCUUGCUGUACGUGUGCGUGGACCGGAUCCACUUCUACCUCGAGUACCCUCACGUCACCAAACUGGAUGAGGUCACGACCCCGAUCAUGACGUUCCCCGCCGUCACUUUCUGCAACCUGAACGCUUUCCGCUUCAGCCGCGUGACGCGCAACGACCUGUACCACGCAGGGGAGCUGCUGGCCCUUCUCAACCAAAGGUAUGAGAUCAGAGACAUGCACCUGGUGGAGGAGAGCGUUCUGGAGAGUCUCAAGGUCAAAGCCGACUUCCACAACUUUAAACCGCGACCCUUCAACAUGCGGGAAUUCUACGACCGUACCGGCCACGAUAUCAGUGACAUGCUGCUCUCCUGCCACUUCCACGGCACCGAGUGCAGAGCAGAGGACUUCAAAGUGGUCUUCACUCGCUAUGGGAAGUGUUACACCUUUAACGCUGGCGGUGAUGGGCGCACUCCCCUCAUCACCACCAAGGGAGGUAUGGGCAACGGCCUCGAGCUCAUGCUGGACAUUCAGCAGGAUGAAUACCUGCCAGUCUGGGGAGAAACAGAUGAGACUUCGUUUGAAGCGGGGGUCAAAGUUCAGAUCCACAGUCAGGACGAGCCGUCCUUCAUUGACCAGCUCGGAUUCGGAGUGGCACCCGGGUUCCAGACAUUUGUUUCCUGUCAGGAACAGAGGCUGAUAUAUCUCCCCCCACCCUGGGGAGACUGCAAGGUGACGCCAAUGGAGUCGGACUUCUUUGACACUUACAGCAUCACAGCCUGUCGCAUUGACUGCGAAACGCGCUACCUGGUGGACAACUGCAACUGUCGCAUGGUGCACAUGCCUGGCGAUGCCCCCUACUGCACCCCCGAGCUGUACAAAGAAUGUGCUGACCCAGCUCUGGAUUUCCUGGUGGAAAGAGACAACGAUUUCUGUGUGUGUGAGACGCCGUGCAACAUGACCAGAUACAGCAAAGAGCUGUCUUUUGUCAAGAUCCCCAGCAAGGCCUCUGCUAAAUAUCUUGCAAAAAAAUACAACAAAUCUGAGCAGUACAUUAAGGAAAAUAUCCUGGUUUUAGAUAUCUUCUUUGAAGCUCUCAAUUAUGAAACUAUUGAACAGAAGAAAGCAUAUGAAGUGGCUGGACUUUUAGGUGAUAUUGGUGGUCAGAUGGGACUUUUUAUUGGUGCAAGUAUACUGACUAUUCUGGAGAUAUUUGACUACCUUUAUGAGGUAAUGAAGUACAAACUGUGCCGCUGCUCCGAUAAGAAGCACAAGCAUAACAACAACAAUGACCAGGGAACGGUCCUGAGCUUAGACGAUGUCAAGUGUCACGUCAGUAACUUUCACUAAGCUUCUGCAGCCGGGGGCAGAGAGCCACCGCACUCUCUCGCUUGUGAGCAGCUUCGUGGACUUUGUUCUUUGCAGGUUUUCUUUCUUUUCCCACUGCUGGAACAACAGAGGAAGUGCGUGAACUGUGCCUGAUUAAGGUGUGUAAGCGACAUGAUGAAAUAGGGACGUGUGGCUGAGGUAGGCGGACGGCCACAGAGACGCGAGGGCAGGAGAACCAAGAGAAAUAAAACUUAAAAAAUGUUAGAAUAACUGCAUGGUCUUCUGUAAACACCUUUUCAAGACGUAGUAACAGAUACAGUUAAAGGUUACACAGGUUCAUUAUAUGUUCAGUAAAUCAGUGUUAGAAAUCCCAGCAAUGUGGUGUCAGUUUGACUGUUUUUGUGUGAAAUAGUUGUUAAUUUACAGGAAUUUUUGUUUGGACUAAACCAGCUUUCUCUUUUACUUACAGCUGUCUUCCCCUGUUAAACUACGCAUUUUGCCAUCAUACUGUACUACCUCGUCUCGCAGGAUGACAGUGCUAAAAAUAAUUUAAGUAAAACUGACUGACAAAAAGACAGCGAAUGAACCGAUAAACUACCCAAAGGCCCAGCAUAAGACACACAAAGAAUAAUUUGAACUGUAACUCAUGUAGACCUAUUGUAAUGUAGUCCACAAUAAAAAUACAGAAUUGGAAAUGAGCAGUAUAAGCUCUUUCUCACUUUCUCUCAGAAAACAUUUGUUUGCACAUUUUCACCGCACAUUCUUUGUUAUAACCAGUUUAUGUAUGAGAGUAAAAAAGGCCUACGUAUGAUUUUUAUGCACACGCAUAGUUUAUACAUCCAGCCUCUGAUGUUGCGCACGGUUUCGCACUUUGGCCCAUCAUAUGACGCUUGUGAAUGUUAUCAGUAACCUGUGUUUUUCCUGCUGUAACAAGUUCAAAUGCCCGAUGUGAAAAAGAUCUGCCAAGGGAACUACUUGGGUUAAACACGAGCAGGAAGUUAAAAACCAGUUGCUAGAUUCCCCACAAAAAAGAUGUAAUCGAACAAUAUGACAAAGAGACUUAAUCAUCGUGUACUGUAUAGCUUUGCUGUAGAAAUGAGAAAUUUAUUAACACGUGAUGCCAUAACAUUCGUUUAAGAGAAUGUCAUUCAUGUUUACAUGCUUUUUGUCACAUUUUAAGGAAUUUUGCUUCUGUUGUGUCAACAAGGCUGGAUCACAUCAACUAGAAUCAAUAUUUUUGAAUGUUUUUUUUUUUACUUUCGAACGCUUACUUGCAUGUAGCACUGUACAGCAAGCAUCCUAUAUGUACAGUUCAUCCACACCUGCAGUUUGAGCCUUCUUCUGUCCUCGUGUCUGGGUGCGUUUUGUGAGCAUGUAUUCAUUUGCGGUUUUACGGUGAUGAAAGAAAAGUGGAAAGAAACUGCCCUAAAAUGCUCAACAGUGAGUGUGGUGUCAGGUAGAUGGAGAAAAUCUGAGCUCUGCGGAGCAUGUUUGAGAGUUUCCCUCAUGAUUGUGUAUAUACCAAAAUUAGGGAUGCACCGAUAUAUCGGCCAAACCUCGGCACAGCCUGAUCUCCGCCUUGUUGAACAUUCACUUCUCUGCAAACAAGAAUGUAUUUAUUGACGUGAGUGUUUUCUGAUCUUUUUUUCACAAUGCCUAAUGUUUAAGAUGGUGUGUCAGUUAUGUUAUUGAAAAUUUGCUUGUCUUCCUGGCACGCGAAGGAAAAGCAAACAAGAACAAAGCGUGGCGUGCCCAGAAGUUCACAGUCGGUGCAUCCCUACCAAAAAUCUAACCAUGUUCAUUAUUCUGCUCCUAGUUGUUCUCAACAGGAAGUGGGAUCUGAUUAGCGUGUAGCUGUGUGGUGUUACUAUCAAGCACAAUUAUUCCAUCAGUUGUAAUUUAGUGUAAAUAUUACUGUUGACUGUGGAUAAUAAUCCUCGUGUAUUAGCAUAGUCUGGUUUGUCUAACGGUGUACUUAAUGGAUUUAUUUCAAAGAAACUUGCUGUGUGUCUCAAUUCAUUUUUUCUUCUGUAAAUGACUGUAAAUUUGUUUAUUUGUCAAAGACAAAGUAGGGGGGCUGUUUGUUUGUUUUUAUUAAUAUUGCUAGAGUUGAGUCACAGCAGCCGUUCUCAUCAGUACAUGAGAAUUAAAUAGCCAGACUGUUGCUGCAUGAGGUCGCCCAGCUUACUGCUUUUGUUUUUGCCUCCGUCUUUACUUUUGCCUUUUCAUUUGUGAUAUGAAAGGACAGCUGUUUUAGUCUGGUGAUGUAAAGAUGAAUAAUGGACUUGAAUCGGUUGUUACAUUAAAGAUCAAAUGCUAA